rnacentral:rRNA from 1 species
AGUGAACGCUGGCGGCAGGCCUAACACAUGCAAGUCGAGCGGCAGCGCGGGGCAACCCUGGCGGCGAGCGGCGGACGGGUGAGGAAUACAUCGGAAUCUACCCAGUCGUGGGGGAUAACGUAGGGAAACUUACGCUAAUACCGCAUACGACCCGAGGGUGAAAGCAGGGGACCGCAAGGCCUUGCGCGAUUGGAUGAGCCGAUGUCCGAUUAGCUAGUUGGUGAGGUAAAGGCUCACCAAGGCGACGAUCGGUAGCUGGUCUGAGAGGAUGAUCAGCCACACUGGAACUGAGACACGGUCCAGACUCCUACGGGAGGCAGCAGUGGGGAAUAUUGGACAAUGGGCGCAAGCCUGAUCCAGCCAUGCCGCGUGUGUGAAGAAGGCCUCGGGUUGUAAAGCACUUUUGUUGGGGAAGAAAUCUUCCGACCUAAUACGUCGGGAGGCUGACGGUACCCAAAGAAUAAGCACCGGCUAACUUCGUGCCAGCAGCCGCGGUAAUACGAAGGGUGCAAGCGUUACUCGGAAUUACUGGGCGUAAAAGCGUGCGUAGGUGGUUCGUUAAGUCUGCCGUGAAAGCCCCGGGCUCAACCUGGGAAUGGCGGUGGAUACUGGCGGACUAGAGUGCGGUAGAGGGUGGUGGAAUUCCCGGUGUAGCAGUGAAAUGCGUAGAGAUCGGGAGGAACAUCUGUGGCGAAGGCGGCCACC